UGCUAUACAUGCAAGUCGAACGCACUGACGUCGACCGAAGCUGCUUGCAGUGGACGUUGAUUGACGUGAGUGGCGGACGGGUGAGUAACACGUGGGUAACCUACCCUUAAGUGGGGGAUAACAUUUGGAAACAGAUGCUAAUACCGCAUAACCAUUCAGACCACAUGGUCUGAAUGUAAAAGACGGCCUUUGGCUGUCACUUUUGGACGGACCCGCGGCGUAUUAGUUAGUUGGUAAGGUAACGGCUUACCAAGACAAUGAUACGUAGCCGACCUGAGAGGGUAAUCGGCCACAUUGGGACUGAGACACGGCCCAAACUCCUACGGGAGGCAGCAGUAGGGAAUCUUCCACAAUGGACGAAAGUCUGAUGGAGCAACGCCGCGUGAGUGAAGAAGGUUUUAGGAUCGUAAAACUCUGUUGUUGGAGAAGAACAGGGACUAGAGUAACUGUUAGUCCUUUGACGGUAUCCAACCAGAAAGCCACGGCUAACUACGUGCCAGCAGCCGCGGUAAUACGUAGGUGGCAAGCGUUGUCCGGAUUUAUUGGGCGUAAAGCGAGCGCAGGCGGUUUUUUAAGUCUGAUGUGAAAGCCUUCGGCUUAACCGAAGAAGUGCAUUAGAAACUGGAAAACUUGAGUGCAGAAGAGGACAGUGGAACUCCAUGUGUAGCGGUGAAAUGCGUAGAUAUAUGGAAGAACACCAGUGGCGAAGGCGGCUGUCUGGUCUGUAACUGACGCUGAGGCUCGAAAGUAUGGGGAGCGAACAGGAUUAGAUACCCUGGUAGUCCAUACCGUAAACGAUGAAUGCUAAGUGUUGGAGGGUUUCCGCCCUUCAGUGCUGCAGCUAACGCAUUAAGCAUUCCGCCUGGGGAGUACGACCGCAAGGUUGAAACUCAAAGGAAUUGACGGGGGCCCGCACAAGCGGUGGAGCAUGUGGUUUAAUUCGAAGCAACGCGAAGAACCUUACCAGGUCUUGACAUCCUUUGACCACUGUAGAGAUACAGCUUUCCCUUCGGGGACAAAGUGACAGGUGGUGCAUGGUUGUCGUCAGCUCGUGUCGUGAGAUGUUGGGUUAAGUCCCGCACGAG
rnacentral:rRNA from 1 species